AGAGCGAACGCUGGCGGCAGGCCUAACACAUGCAAGUCGAGCGCCCGUAGCAAUACGGGAGCGGCAGACGGGAUAGUAACACGUGGGAACGCGCCCUUCGGUUCGGAAUAACUCAGGGAAACUUGAGCUAAUACCGGAUACGCCCUUACGGGGAAAGAUUUAUUGCCGAAGGAACGGCCCGCGUCCGAUUAGCUAGUUGGUGAGGUAAUGGCUCACCAAGGCGACGAUCGGUAGCUGGUCUGAGAGGAUGACCAGCAUCACUGGGACUGAGACACGGCCCAGACUCCUACGGGAGGCAGCAGUGGGGAAUAUUGGACAAUGGGCGCAAGCCUGAUCCAGCCAUGCCGCGUGGAUGAUGAAGGCCUUAGGGUUGUAAAGUCCUUUUAACGGGGAAGUAUAAUGACGGUACCGUAGAAUAAGCCCCGGCUAACUUCGCGCCAGCAGCCGC
rnacentral:rRNA from 1 species